AACGAGCAACAAUAUAUAUGUUGGGAAAUGCUACACCCACGUAAUGUUACGUGAGGUUUCUACGUAAAGGCUGAUUUAGAGGUAGUUAAUUGGAUUAGGAUUAAUGAUUGGGGCCCAUCCAGGUUGAAAUCAGGGGAAGAAGAGUAUUUAGGCAAGGGUAAGUAAGUUUAUGUAAGAACCUUACGUAGGUGUAGGAUUAUUGAUAUAUGUUUUGUUGUUUCUUGUGAUCAGAAAACAGGGAUCCUAGAGAGCAACGGGAGUUACUCGGCCUGGCCUGCACAUGGGCGGCCUGAAGAUUGUUAUGGAAGUCCUCCAGCGUAGAACACCCACUUAUUCCCCAAUCUUCGCCUGAAAGAAAACUUAUUAUCCAAUCGCCGCAGUCGUAGGGCAGCGACGAGGAGGAGCAGGCCAAUAGGCUCGUCUUCAGGUUCUGGUAAGGAUCGUUUUGGUUCUUAUCGGAUCCUCUAGGUCUUCUUGUAUUUUGAGAUUUAUACUCGUCCUUGCUACCGGCGGAAAAAUCUAGUCACUAUGAACACUAUGAACAAGAUCUGCGUUUUGCAUCCGAAAAUUAGGAGCCAUGGUGUUGUUGUUCGAUUACAAAUAUUAGGAGCAUCUAAUGAUGCCUGCUGAGGCGAGAUUAACUACUAAUAGAAGGGGUGGAUUAACGAGCUACUCGACUCGUUAAGCUCGUGCUCGUUAAGGCUCAACUCGUUAAGCUCGUUAAGAUUAACGAGCAGAAAACCCUACUCGGCUCGUCUCGUUUGAAACUCGUUAAAUUCGUGAGCAUUCGCGAGUGCUCGUUAAUAGAUUUUAAUGUGUGACGGUCUAUAUGAUAAGUGUGUAGAUGUGGUUUUCAAGAAGAAAAGAUAAUGCCUAUAAAAGGAAUUCACUAGUUUGUUACUUUCUAUAUAGAUUAGAUUGAAUAGAUGAAAUGAGCUGCCAUGUAAAUUUUGACAUGUUAGAUGAAAAUAUGUUGUAUUGUUACUAAUGAGCUUAACGAGCUACUCAUGAAACUCGUUAGCUCGUUCAUUAAGCUCGUUAAGCUUAACGAGCUGAAAUCAAUGAUUGACUCUGUUCAUUAAGAAGCGAGCCACGAGCUUGACGAGCCGAACUAUCGAGCGCUCAUUAAGCUCGCGAGCUACGAGUUUUUGGUCCAGCCCUAAUCACUAAGUUGUGUUGAAUUCUUUACGAACUCAUUUAUUUAAUCGGAUAAUCAUUUUUUUUUAUUUUGUAGUGAUGCUUCGAAAGCAUUAUCUCAAAGCCAUUCAUAUGGUUCUUCUCCAUAGAAAAACCAUCUUAGAUCUUGAGGAUGAAAGUGGACGUGAUGUUUCUGGAUCUGGAUAUGAUAAUGAGUAAUAUAGUGAAUUUAUUGAAUUUUCUAUUCGAUGAUUUCUUCAUAGAGUUAAUGAUAUUUGACUCACUGUCCAGAUUAUAUAUACGAGAUGAUUCAUCAGAAAGCAAAAAGAAAAAAAAAACUAAUCACGAAGAACAUGUAUAAGAAGGCACAGGGAAUGCGUUCAUGAUGGACGAGGUAUGCAUUGUUGCCUUAUUUAAUUGCUUUUGUCAUACUAAAAGAGGCAUAUGCAUCUUUAAGAUAUCUACAUAUUUGUAUAAAUCGAUGUGAGGCCUAUAAAUAUUUCAAGAGAGGUUUAUAUUAAGGGGCCCUGCAUUAUAGUUUCUCCCUGGACCCCGGCCGAUAUCUCUGGACCGGCCCUGGUUUACAACACCGAUGGAUGCAAAUGAAAAUCAUUGGUCGAGUUUGAGUGAGUGAUUUUGCAUUUUUUUAAAGGAGAUAAUUUCGUGUUUAACAAGAUAAUUAUUCCGUCAGUGACUACACAGUGCAAGGUUUGACUAAUUUCUCAUCUGUUGGGUCGGUUUCCCUCUAGGCUAGAUUUACUGCGGUGAACUUACUCAUCCUUUUGUGAUUGUUUCAAGAUAUUCGAAUAAAAACUUGAAAUUUUGUACAAGAUAUUUGUGCAAUAUUUACUGCAGCGAACAUAGUGAUCCUUUUUUGAAUUUAUCCAUGAGACAACAAAAAUUGAUAAGAAACCUUUGGUACAACCAUACAAUUGAUAGCAUGACAUGUUGUGUAUUAUAUAACUAAAACAAACUUGUUGAUCAUAAAACUCUUUAAGAACAAUUUUUUUUAAACUAAUGCAUACAUCAGAUUCUUCCAGCAAGGAGUGAAAUGGAACAUAGAGCCUCAGUGAAAACCCAAGACGACGAAACAAAUCACAGUUUCAAGGUAAGAUCAAUGCUUUGGUUCUCCUCCUCAUCUCCUUUAUCCUUAUCCUCCGGGGUCAACAUCACACCAAGAUUGGUUGCCAUGCUCCCAUAUGGCAUGGGGGCAUCGCUUGAUUCGCCAUCAUGAUCUGAUAAAUUGUUGGAUAUUGGUAUUGGAAAAAAUAUAAUCUCUUUAGGUUUCUCCUUACCCUUGUGAUACCUUCUCCAAUAAGCAGUGUUUGGUGGUAGUGGGUACAUUGAAAACUCCUUGGACUUUUUGGUCAUGUAUUCCUCAUGCUUCCUCCUAUUCUCUAGGAUCUCUUGACGAUGUUUGGUCAUGUGGCCGCCACGGGCUUGGAGGUUUGUGAAGGUCCUAGGGCAGAAGGAGCAAGUGUACAGUGGGCUUGGUAUCAUUGGCGUCUCCUCCGACCGCCAUGAUCCACUGAAGCCGGUUGCCAUGGAUUUGAUGCAAGCUUCGACGAAAGACCUUUGCUAGUUUACGAAUUAUAAAAUGGUUGGAGAUCUAUGUUCUACGUAUAGGCCAUGUGGACGCUUUUAAAGAUGUUUUUGGUAGAAAUAAAUAAGGAAUACGAGGAACGACGUAAAUAUUCAUUUACUUUUGUUUUUAUUUAGGAAAAGAAGAUAACUACCACACCAAAAGAUAAAGAUGGAGAUGGAAUAGAAGAAAUAGCACUACUAAACAUUAAUGUAGUACCUUAUGAGUAGCUAAAGUUCG
rnacentral:lncRNA from 1 species